UAAAGAGAAAAAUUAAACUUAUUCUCGCAAUACUAAAAUGAACAGAAUGUUUCUGUAUUCGCAAACAUCGUUAUUCGCGUUUCACUCGAAAGCUUAACAUAGAUAACAGUAGACAUGAUAUCGUUUUGUAAAUAAACAUCAAAGUAAAGGCGAAAUGGUCGCAGUAAGCAGUAGUCACAUGGUGAGAUCUUUUUGUAUUCCUCUCUGUGUAGCAAAAGAAGGAAUGAAUUUAAACUCAAGUGUUUUCAAAACACCAAAGUGUAUUAAUUAAUGUAUUCUUUUAACGUUUAACGAAUUUUGUUACUUUCGCCAGUUAUAAUCAUUGCAUGACUAAGGCUGUUAAAUAUGUCUGACACUAAUAUCAGAUGAUCUGAAGAUAACGCAUAUCAAAAGCAAGUGCAGGCGAUGACAGUUGCUUUGACAGUUUUCUAUUGAUACAAAUUCGACAAAUACACUUCAGUCUUGAAAAAGAAAUAACAAUUUACUCAUAUAUUAAAAAUUUUUUUUCAUAAGA
rnacentral:misc_RNA from 1 species